UACGUAGGGGGCAAGCGUUGUCCGGAAUCAUUGGGCGUAAAGAGCGUGUAGGCGGCCCGGUAAGUCCGCUGUGAAAGUCCAGGGCUCAACCCUGGGAUGCCGGUGGAUACUGUCGGGCUCGAGUCCGGAAGAGGAGUGUGGAAUUCCUGGUGUAGCGGUGAAAUGCGCAGAUAUCAGGAGGAACACCGGUGGCGAAGGCGGGUCGCUGGGCCGAUACUGACGCUGAGGAGCGAAAGCGUGGGGAGCGAACAGG
rnacentral:rRNA from 1 species